rnacentral:rRNA from 1 species
GUACACACCGCCCGUCACACCAUGGGAGUGGGUUUUACCUUAAGCUGAUGAGCUAACCGCAAGGAGGCAGUCAAUCACGGUAGAAUUCGCGACUGGGGUGAAGUCGUAACAAGGUAGCCGUAGGUGAACCUGCAGAAGGAUCA